rnacentral:rRNA from 1 species
UACGUAGGUGGCAAGCGUUGUCCGGAAUUAUUGGGCGUAAAGCGCGCGCAGGCGGUCCUUUAAGUCUGAUGUGAAAGCCCACGGCUCAACCGUGGAGGGUCAUUGGAAACUGGGGGACUUGAGUACAGAAGAGAAGAGUGGAAUUCCACGUGUAGCGGUGAAAUGCGUAGAGAUGUGGAGGAACACCAGUGGCGAAGGCGGGUCUCUGGGCAGUAACUGACGCUGAGGAGCGAAAGCGUGGGGAGCGAGCAGG